rnacentral:sRNA from 1 species
UUUAGACACAAUAAAUUAAAAUGUUAAUAAAAUUAAUUUUUAUCCAAAAUUAUAAAAUUAAUAUUAUAUCAUCUAAAAUUUAAUAGUUAAUUGAGAUGGUAAGGGUAAAAUUGGAAUUUUAUUUUUGUUGUGAGAUCGUGAGUACGAAAAUAACAACAUUGUUGUAACAAGAGAAAAAGAUAGAAGAAAUGAGUGUGUUAUUCCAUCGAAUAAAGGGUCCUUUAUAUAGGAGUACAAGAGAAAGGUAAAACCCUAGAGACAUCUAGAUGAUGGGCCUUAUAAUGGGCAUCCAUCUAUUAUUCAUAACACUCCCCCUUGAUGACCAUUAUAGUACCAUAACUCCUAAAAUAUUUGAAAUGUUGCCUCAUUAAAAACUUUACCAGGAAAACCCAAUGGGAAAAACCAUGGUUAUGGGAAAAAGAGUGCAACACACAAUUACACCCCCUUAUGAGUAUAUUCGUCGAGAUCUUUGAAACAGCGUAAUCCGCUACGAUAGACUAACUUCUUGAAAGUAGCAGUAGAUAGCGCCUUGGUGAAGAAGUCAGCCAGAUUAUCAUUCGAACGGAUCUGUAGAACUCGUACAUCGCCGCUCUUUUGUAGAUCGUGUGUGAAGAUGAAUUUUGGUAGGAUGUGCUUUGUUCUAUUGCCUUUGAUGUAUCCGUCUUUGAGUUGUGCGAUGCAUGCUGCAUUGUCGUCGUACAUAAUUGUUGGAGUCUUUUUUCCUGCAUACAUACCAAAGUCUUCUUGUACACAUUCGCGGCUAUCUUCAUGAAUUGCUAAAAU